rnacentral:rRNA from 1 species
GCCUGUUUUUACAAAAACAUCGCUCCUUGUAAAUGAAAUAAAUAAGGAGUCGGACCUGCCCAGUGAAUUUUUAACGGCCGCGGUACUCUGACCGUGCAAAGGUAGCAUAAUAACUUGCCUUAUAAUUGAAGGCUAGAAUGAAUGGUUUGACGAGAAUAAAGCUGUCUCUCUACAAUUUUAUAAAAAUUUAUUUACAGAUGAAAAAGUCUGUAUCCAAUUAAAAGACAAGAAGACCCUAUCGAGCUUUAAAAAAUUUAGUAGAUUAAAACUUAUCUUAAUUGAGAUAGUUAACUACUAAGUAUUUUAGUUGGGGCGACUAAGGAACAAAUAAAGCUUCCUCAUGCACAACUCUACCUAUUAGUUUUGAUCCAGAAAUUUCUGAUUAAUAAAAUUAGUUACCGUAGGGAUAACAGCAUUAUCUUUUUUAAGAGUUCUUAUCGAAAAAAAGGUUUGUGACCUCGAUGUUGGACCAGAAUGUCCUAAAGAUGCAGCAGUCUUUAAGGGUUGGUCUGUUCGACCAUUAAUAUUCUACGUGAUCUGAGUCCC